rnacentral:rRNA from 1 species
AGAAUCAACGCUGGCGGCGUGCCUAACACAUGCAAGUCGAACGAGAAAGGGAUUUCGGUCCUGAGUAUAGUGGCGCACGGGUGAGUAACACGUGAAUAACCUACCUCCGAGUGGGGAAUAACUGAGAGAAAUCUUAGCUAAUACCGCAUAACACUUACGAGUCAAAGCAGCAAUGCGCUUGGAGAGGAGUUCGCGGCCGAUUAGUUAGUUGGCGGGGUAAUGGCCCACCAAGACGAUGAUCGGUA